AAGAGUUGGUCUCACUCAUCUUCCUUCCUUUCAAGCCUCCCUUCCAUUCCUCAAAGGCUGCAAUCAAGGCGAAGUGAAUAUCAUGAUCAUAACUUGUGCGAUGGAGUUUCUGAGACGUUUUACAUUCUUUUUUCAAUGCUGGACACUUUCCCAGGCGUAUCCAACUCUGAUAACUCUAUCUGCCUCGAACACUGGCUCGUUAUCACCGUCUGUAUUACAGUCGGCCUUCUGCUUUGUGCCCUCUUUACAUUCAUCACUCUCUCCAUCCGCGAAAUAUGGCUCAUCCGACAAUCAAGAAGAGGAAAGGAUAAAGAAGUGGACGAGAAGCAGCAGUUGGUGGAGAUUGCUGAUGAAGUGGGGGUGAGCCACAAGAAGGCGGAGUAAUGAGGAGAUGCAUGUUAAAUGUUGAG
rnacentral:sRNA from 1 species